GUCAUCUUUUAACAUAGCUUUUUGUGGACGCCAUUUUUAAUAUUGUUAAACAUUUUUUUUUAAAUAUAUUUUUUAAAAAUAUUUUUGCACUUUUCAUAAGUAUAUAAAUAAACUGUAAAAAUUUUAAAUUGAUUGCUCUUUUUUUAAACCUUAAAAAUUCCGGAAAACACCCUUAAUUCAACAGCGCGCCAGUCGUUUAUUCUUUAUCACAUUUCCGCCAAUUGGAUAUUCCAAGCGUAGCCAGGUCCUUCUCCAUCUGGUACUUCCAACGAAGUGCAGGUCUUCCUCUUCCUCUGCUUCCUCCGGCGGGUCCUGCGUCGAAUACUUUCAGAUCUAGAGUGUUUUCGUCCAUUCGGACAACAUGGCCUAGACAGCGUAGCCGUUGUCUUUUAAUUCGCUGAACUUUGUCAAAGUUUUCGUAUAUCUCAUGGAGCUCAUCGUUUCAUCGAAUGCGAUAUUCUCCGUGGCCAAUGCGCAAAAGACCAUAAGUAUUACGCAGAACUUUCACUCGAAAACUUGCAACGUCGACUCAUCAGUUGUUGUCAUCGUCCAUGCCUCUGCACCAUAUAGCAGGAUGGGAAUAAUGAGUGACUUAUAGAGUUUGGUUUUUGUUCGUCGAGAGAGGACUUUACUUCUCAAUUGCCUACUGAGUCCGAAGUACCACCUGUUGGCAAGAGUUAUUCUGCGCUGACAGGAGAUAUCAUUAUCAUCGGCAUUAUCUUAUAAAAGAUUGUACCUGCUCGAUUAAGUUCUGCAGCUCGAAUUAUUUUCUCCAGCAGCAGAUUGAAGAAGUCGCACGAUAGGGAGUCGCCUUGUCUGAAACCUCGUUUGGUAUCGAACGGUUCGGAGAGGUCCUUCCCCAUCCUGACGGAGCUUUUGGUGUUGCUCAACGUCAGUUUACACAGCGUAUUAGUUUUGCGGGGAUACCAAAUUCAGACAUCGCGGCAUAAAGGCAGCUCCUUUUCGUGCUGUCGAAAGCAGCUUUGAAAUCGACGAAGAGGUGGUAUGUGUCGAUUCUCCUUUCACGGGUCUUUUCCAAGAUUUGGCGCAUGGUGAAUAUCUGGUCGGUUGUUGAUUUGCCAGGUCUGAAGACACACUGAUAAGGUCCAAUCAGUUUGUUGACGGUGGGCUUU